AUUGAACGCUGGCGGCAGGCCUAACACAUGCAAGUCGAACGAGUGGCGGACGGGUGAGUAAUGUCUGGGAAACUGCCUGAUGGCGGGGGAUAAAUACUGAAAACGGUAGCUAAUACCGCAUACCAUUGGAUGUGCCCAUAGGGGAUUAGCUAGUGGGUGGGGUAAAGGCUCACCGAGGCGACGAUCCCUAUCUGGUUUGAGAGGAUGACCAGCCACACUGGGACUGUGACACGGUCCCGACUCCUACGGGAGGCAGCAGUGGGGAAUAUUGCACAAUGGGCGCAAGCCUGAGGCAGCCAUGCCGCGUGUAUGAAGAAGGCCUUCGGGUUGUAAAGUACUUUCAGCGGGGAGGCGUUACCCGCAGAAGAAGCACCGGCUAACUCCGUGCCAGCAGCCGCGGUAAUAC
rnacentral:rRNA from 1 species